GACGUAGGGCGCGAGCGUUGUCCGGAUUUAUUGGGCGUAAAGAGCUCGUAGGCGGCUUGUCGCGUUGUUCGCGAAAACUCACAGCUCAACUGUGGGCGUGCGGGCGAUACGAGCAGACUGGAGUACUGCAGGGGAGACUGGAAUUCCUGGUGUAGCGGCGGAAUGCGCAGAUAUCAGGAGGAACACCGGUGGCGAAGGCGGGUCUCUGGGCAGUAACUGACGCUGAGGAGCGAAAGCGUGGGGAGCGAACAGG
rnacentral:rRNA from 1 species